CGCUGCUUAUACCUAUAACAUAAAGUAGAACGUCAUAUGUUUCUACUGAGGUCACUGAGUUUCUUCACUUUCUACGUACAGUAAUGGUCCCAUUUCCCCAGCUGUAGAGACGCAGUUGUAGAAGUCACCAUGACGGCUUCCCAGCCUUCCCCAAACGCAUGUGAGGCAGGAUUCUGAUUUCCUACCAGUUCAACAUCAGCUGACUGCAGUGCAAGGGAACCAGAGUCACUGAUGUGAGAACAGAGCUAUUGGCAGAACUUGAGUUUGGAAACAGUAGGCUCCUGUUCUUCAGAGAUCUCCCGUGGAAAAGCUUUGUUCUAGAUCUACCCCUCACAAGAAGUUAUAAAAGAUAGUGCUGAUGGGAGCUCUUUGUGUUGCAUGGAGUUAAGAGACAUACCUUGUUCUAGGGCAGCUGAUGCAGUCAUCCACCUCAGGUCCAGUGCACUUCUGACAGGAUGCUUCACACAACUGACAUUCCUGGGAAUCAUCA